GGUUAAGCGACUAAGCGUACACGGUGGAUGCCCUGGCAGUCAGAGGCGAUGAAGGACGUGCUAAUCUGCGAAAAGCGUCGGUAAGGUGAUAUGAACCGUUAUAGCCGGCGAUGUCCGAAUGGGGAAACCCAGUGCAAUUCGUUGCACUAUCGUUUGAUGAAUACAUAGUCAAACGAGGCGAACCGGGGGAACUGAAACAUCUAAGUACCCCGAGGAAAAGAAAUCAACCGAGAUUCCCCCAGUAGCGGCGAGCGAACGGGGAGCAGCCCGGAGUCUGAAUCAGCUUGUGUGUUAGUGGAAGCGUCUGGAAAGUCGCAGGGUACAGGGUGAUACUCCCGUACACUAAAACGCACAGGCUGUGAACUCGAAGAGUAGGGCGGGACACGUGGUAUCCUGUCUGAAUAUGGGGGGACCAUCCUCCAAGGCUAAAUACUCCUGACUGACCGAUAGUGAACCAGUACCGUGAGGGAAAGGCGAAAAGAACCCCGGCGAGGGGAGUGAAAAAGAACCUGAAACCGUGUACGUACAAGCAGUAGGAGCCUCUUUAUGGGGUGACUGCGUACCUUUUGUAUAAUGGGUCAGCGACUUAUAUUCUGUAGCAAGGUUAACCGUAUAGGGGAGCCGCAGGGAAACCGAGUCUUAACUGGGCGUUAAGUUGCAGGGUAUAGACCCGAAACCCGGUGAUCUAGCCAUGGGCAGGUUGAAGGUUGGGUAACACUAACUGGAGGACCGAACCGACUAAUGUUGAAAAAUUAGCGGAUGACUUGUGGCUGGGGGUGAAAGGCCAAUCAAACCGGGAGAUAGCUGGUUCUCCCCGAAAGCUAUUUAGGUAGCGCCUCGUGAACUCAUCUUCGGGGGUAGAGCACUGUUUCGGCUAGGGGGUCAUCCCGACUUACCAACCCGAUGCAAACUACGAAUACCGAAGAAUGUUAUCACGGGAGACACACGGCGGGUGCUAACGUCCGUCGUGAAGAGGGAAACAACCCAGACCGCCAGCUAAGGUCCCAAAGUCAUGGUUAAGUGGGAAACGAUGUGGGAAGGCCCAGACAGCCAGGAUGUUGGCUUAGAAGCAGCCAUCAUUUAAAGAAAGCGUAAUAGCUCACUGGUCGAGUCGGCCUGCGCGGAAGAUGUAACGGGGCUAAACCAUGCACCGAAGCUGCGGCAGCGACACUAUGUGUUGUUGGGUAGGGGAGCGUUCUGUAAGCCGUUGAAGGUGGCCUGUGAGGGUUGCUGGAGGUAUCAGAAGUGCGAAUGCUGACAUAAGUAACGAUAAUGCGGGUGAAAAACCCGCACGCCGGAAGACCAAGGGUUCCUGUCCAACGUUAAUCGGGGCAGGGUGAGUCGACCCCUAAGGCGAGGCCGAAAGGCGUAGUCGAUGGGAAACAGGUUAAUAUUCCUGUACUCGGUGUUACUGCGAAGGGGGGACGGAGAAGGCUAUGUUGGCCGGGCGACGGUUGUCCCGGUUUAAGCAUGUAGGCGGAUGUUCCAGGUAAAUCCGGAACGUUAUUAACGCUGAGGUGUGAUGACGAGGCACUACGGUGCUGAAGUGACAAAUGCCCUGCUUCCAGGAAAAGCCUCUAAGCAUCAGGUAACAUCAAAUCGUACCCCAAACCGACACAGGUGGUCAGGUAGAGAAUACCAAGGCGCUUGAGAGAACUCGGGUGAAGGAACUAGGCAAAAUGGUGCCGUAACUUCGGGAGAAGGCACGCUGAUAUGUAGGUGAAGUGGUUUACCCAUGGAGCUGAAAUCAGUCGAAGAUACCAGCUGGCUGCAACUGUUUAUUAAAAACACAGCACUGUGCAAACACGAAAGUGGACGUAUACGGUGUGACGCCUGCCCGGUGCCGGAAGGUUAAUUGAUGGGGUUAUCCGUAAGGAGAAGCUCUUGAUCGAAGCCCCGGUAAACGGCGGCCGUAACUAUAACGGUCCUAAGGUAGCGAAAUUCCUUGUCGGGUAAGUUCCGACCUGCACGAAUGGCGUAAUGAUGGCCAGGCUGUCUCCACCCGAGACUCAGUGAAAUUGAACUCGCUGUGAAGAUGCAGUGUACCCGCGGCAAGACGGAAAGACCCCGUGAACCUUUACUAUAGCUUGACACUGAACACUGGUCCUUGAUGUGUAGGAUAGGUGGGAGGCUUUGAAGUGUGGACGCCAGUCUGCAUGGAGCCAUCCUUGAAAUACCACCCUUUAAUGGCUGGUGUUCUAACGUGGGCCCCUAAUCGGGGUUGCGGACAGUGUCUGGUGGGUAGUUUGACUGGGGCGGUCUCCUCCUAAAGAGUAACGGAGGAGCACGAAGGUCAGCUAAUCCUGGUCGGACAUCAGGAGGUUAGUGCAAUGGCAUAAGCUGGCUUGACUGCGAGCGUGACGGCGCGAGCAGGUGCGAAAGCAGGUCAUAGUGAUCCGGUGGUUCUGAAUGGAAGGGCCAUCGCUCAACGGAUAAAAGGUACUCCGGGGAUAACAGGCUGAUACCGCCCAAGAGUUCAUAUCGACGGCGGUGUUUGGCACCUCGAUGUCGGCUCAUCACAUCCUGGGGCUGAAGUAGGUCCCAAGGGUAUGGCUGUUCGCCAUUUAAAGUGGUACGCGAGCUGGGUUUAGAACGUCGUGAGACAGUUCGGUCCCUAUCUGCCGUGGGCGCUGGAGAAUUGAGGGGGGCUGCUCCUAGUACGAGAGGACCGGAGUGGACGCAUCACUGGUGUUCGGGUUGUCAUGCCAAUGGCAUUGCCCGGUAGCUAAAUGCGGAAGAGAUAAGUGCUGAAAGCAUCUAAGCACGAAACUUGCCCCGAGAUGAGUUCUCCCUGACUCCUUGAGAGUCCUGAAGGAACGUUGAAGACGACGACGUUGAUAGGCCGGGUGUGUAAGCGCAGCGAUGCGUUGAGCUAACCGGUACUAAUGAACCGUGAGGCUUAACCUU
rnacentral:rRNA from 1 species